rnacentral:sRNA from 2 species
AAGAUGUCGGCCUGCAACCUUCAGGCUGCCUAAUCGUACCUGGUUUCGUCCUUGACCACGGAUGUACUGGCACCGACGACACCAAGUUAUCUGAGAGGCCGGGCUUAUAGCCUGGCCUUUUUUGUU